UUGCUGAAGAAGGUGAAGAUAAAGAAGAAGCUGAUGAGGCUGAUAUUGAACCUGAGUUUAGAAAUUUAGAGAUCAAAGAGUCACUAGAUAUUCCUGUAUACAGAGAUUCACAUAUUAAAGUCCCAACACCCGGUGGAUCAAACACUCUGGUGAGGCCUGUAGACCAUAACAUAUCGAAGGAGGGUUUGUCCCGCGCACCUAUGUCAAGGGAUGAAGU